UUACGGGAGGCAGCAGUGAGGAAUCUUGCACAAUGGGGGAAACCCUGAUGCAGCGACGCCGCGUGAGCGAUGAAGCCCUUCGGGGUGUAAAGCUCUUUCGGCAGGGACGAUAAUGACGGUACCUGCAGAAGCAGCUGCGGCUAACUACGUGCCAGCAGCCGCGGUAAUACGUAGGCAGCGAGCGUUGUUCGGAAUUACUGGGCGUAAAGGGUGUGUAGGCGGUUUUCUAAGUUUGGUGUGAAAUCUCCCGGCUCAACUGGGAGGGUGCGCCGAAAACUGGAAGGCUAGAGUGCGGGAUGGGAAAGUGGAAUUCCUGGUGUAGCGGUGAAAUGCGUAGAUAUCAGGAGGAACACCGGUGGUGUAAACGGCUUUCUGGACCGUAACUGACGCUGAGACACGAAAGCGUGGGUAGCAAACAGGAUUAGAUACCCCGGUAGC
rnacentral:rRNA from 1 species